GGCUGGAUAGCUCAGUUGGUAGAGCAGAGGACUGAAAAUCCUCGUGUCGCUGGUUCGAUUCCUGCUCUAGCCACCA
rnacentral:tRNA from 6 species